CAAUAUUUUCUUUUUGACCUGGGAAUUCUAGAAUUUGCUACUGGAGGAAACAUGAGGUCCUUGGAGGGUUCUGCCGUCCACUGAAGAGCCAUCCACUCUUGAGUCCGCACACACAAGUUUGUCAACUGCGGGAGUAGUCAGCAGCAUCUGCUAAUCUUUCCAGGAUGAUAUUGAACAUCCUUGUUUCAACCCCGAUCUUAUUGGAAAGCUUCUAGGUUGUUGCCAUUAUACUUGCUGAAAGUUUUAGAGAUUUUUGACAAAGAAAGAGGAUCUCUCUAUAUAAGAAAUUUUGAGAAGACAGUUUGCUGGAGUUUGGUUGGCAGCACUCCAACCAAGAAACUUUGUAAGAUGAUGUCCUGAACACCAGACAGCAGUAUGAGAGGAGACUUCUGAAGGCUUCUGAAUCAAAGGAGAGGUGAUUACUCCUUUCCUAGCUUGUGUUCUGGUUCAUGAGUGACCACAAGCACUCUUUUCUGCCUUGGA